rnacentral:lncRNA from 10 species
AAUUGACUGAAGAAAACAGACACAGUCCCUGCCUUCCCUGAGUGUGCAUUCUAGUGGGAGCAACAGACCUUAAAUGAGGCCUUUCUAAAAUUGAGUAUAAAAGGAACUAAUGAGAUAGAAACUCAGAAGGACAAAGACAACAGGUGAUGAGAGAGAGAAUUGUGACUGCAAAGAGUGAACAUAUUUUUGGAAGAUAAAAAGUGGAAGGAGGAGUGAGCAAAAGUAAGAAUGCUGUAUA